UAUCCAUUUAUAAUUACUUUAUUAAGAUGCUGCCAGGGCUCAGGACCCCAUUACUCUAGGCACUGUACAAAAAUGUUGAUCCCCUCUUCUGUGAAGAAGAGUUGUGGGGUACUGCAGCACCAUUCGGUCCUGCUGUCUGAAUAUGGGAGCUGCAUGAGUGGGAGAACAGUGGCAGAGAUGUGGAAACCCACCCAUGUUCACUCUAAAGGUAAAUAUGUGCCUGUGACUAGGAAUGCUCUGUGCCAAGUGCCAAAGCUGCUACCGUCUAAGCAGAGUUGGAGAAAGGAGAUGGAUUCAGAUAAAGGGGAAUAGAGCAGCACAGUGCCCGUCAGCAUAAUAAUCAGCAGUCUGAGCACAGUAUCAGCCUCAUCCAUAUUCUUGCGUUCUAUUAAUUAUUAACAGACUUUUGUGGCGAAUCUCUUAUUCACUGCUGUACCAUCUGCAUGUUCCUUUCUGAAAUAAAAAGCUUCUGCUUUUAUCUGGCUGUUUUGGCCUUUGUCUGGCAGACCUGAGGUCAGCCACUGCCCAGCAGCAGCAGCCAUGGGCCUAGGCCCAUCUGGCACCCCCAGUUUCUCCAGCUGCGUUCUUCCACCCAUAUCUCCUGCAUUUCCUUGGCCCUUCUCUCUUUCAGAAGAGAGGCAAAACUCUGCAGUGUGCACAGGUUAUUGGGUAUCUUUUUGGAGAGUCUUCUUCAUUUCCCAGUGUCACUUCCCAAUGUCCUAGACCUCAGGCUUUGACCAGCGGUUGCAGCACAAUGUAAUUCCACCAGCACGGUUCCGUCCAGCAGCCUGCGGCCACUGGGAAUCCAUUAUUUUGUGACGCUUCAGUAUAAAACGCGUCCUGCUUGUGGGGAACAACGCGUGCCAUCAGGAACGCAGGACUCAUCACCCCACCGGCAGGGUGUCGGGCAGGGCAGGGCAACGCGAGCACAAAACCCUGGCCCGCGGGACGGGGCCCCGUGCCCGGCCCGACCUCAGCCCCCUCGCCCCCUCGGGGUGCCCGGCACGGGGGAGCCUCAGGGGGCGGGCGGCCAGGCCGGGUUCCGCGGGGGAACGGAAAGCCACGGCCCGGGUUUCCCGGCGUCCCGGCGGCCGGGAGCCAUCCGGGGGGAAGCGUUUUGGCGACGGCCGCCGCGGGCGGGCUGAGGAAGGCGGCGGUGCGGUGGCUGCUACUUCAGAGAAUGCUUUAAAAAAAUACAUGGAAAAUGGGGAUAAGGGAAGGCUGGUGAGGAAAUGCAGUGAGCAGUGCACUUGUCUCAGACGCUUGUUUCUGUUGCACGCUAUGUGUCUGGGACCUGUGGGAUUUAAGAAUAUCUCUCCUCUAAGAAAAUUUGCUGCUUCUACAGCCUUCCAUCUUAGUGGGCAAUUGAUGAUUUCACUUGAAAUACUUAUCUGAAGAAAUUAACAGUAGGCAAGGUGUAAUUGCUUUUUAAAAAUGUUAAAAGUACAGCAGUGUGUAACAGCUAACAGGAUACCCAAGAAAAAGCCAUAUAUUUGUGACACUUGCUAUAAACAGUUUGAAACUCCAUCAAAAUUAGCUAGGCAUUAUCUGAUACAUACUGGUCAAAA
rnacentral:lncRNA from 1 species